rnacentral:lncRNA from 1 species
AAAACAAAACAAAACAGAGAAGGGAGAAAGAAAGAAACAGAGAGCAAAACGAAACAGAGAAGGAAGGAAGGAAAGAAAGAAAGAAAAGAAAAGAAAAAGGGAAAUUUGGGGUUUUAAGGUUCAAAGUAAUUUGGUAAGUCAAUUUAAUCCCAUUUUCUCUUAAUUUUGAUAUUUUUUUUGAAAUCCUAGAAUAAAAUACUACUUGAUUUAAGUUGAAAUUUUGAAAGUUAGUAGAUUAUUAAGCAUGGUUCAUGUUGAAUAAAUUGUUAAAUUAGGGAUGUAUUUGAUAGAAAUUUUGAUUUGAAUUGAAUAAAGGAUUGAAUUGUAAACUAAACUAUAAGUUUUAAAUUUUAGGGAUUAAUUUGAAAUAAAUUCGGAAUUAUGAAAACAUGAUAAAAAUUAAAUAGUUAAAUAUGAGUUUAGUAAGAAAUUGGGUAGAAUAAGGGUAUGAAUUGAGAAAGAAAAAUAUAUAGGUUUAGUUAGGGGUUAAAUUGAUUUAAUUUCAAGUUAGAAGUUAGUAAAGAAUGUAAUUGUAAAAUAAAAUAUAAGUUUUGAAUCGAUAGGGAUUAAAUUGAAAGAAUCCCGAAAUUAGGGAUUUAUGGUGAAAUUGAGGAAUUAAAUUGACUUUAUAGUAAGAAUUAAGAGAGAAUAUAGAGUUAGAUUGGGAAAAAUAAAAUUAGUAUUGGUAAGAGAUUAAAUUAGAAUUUGGGUAAAGUUUAGGUAUAAAAGGAAAUAUUUUAAUGAAAUUGUGUAUUAAUGAUUUUUAAUUGUUUAAUUACGUAGCUAAUGUCGUGUACGAGUCAUUGUCUGAGAAGGAAAGGAGAAAGUGGACAAGGAGUGACUCGAGAGAAAUUACGGUUAGUAUUACUAUAAUUCGAAUUUAAUUAUUAAUUGUUAAAAUUUAAAUUAAUAUACAUGAUAAGAAAAUUGAGGUGAGUAUCAUGAUUGAAUCGAAUGAAAUAUAUAUAUACGUAUUGAUAUUGAAUUUAUUGAUAGUAAUUGUUGAAUUUUGAAUAAUAUGUUUAGUAAAUAAAAAUAAGGAGAAUACCAAUAUUUAAUUGAAUGAAUUAAAAUAUGAAUUGAAUAAAUGAGAUAUUAAAUUGAGAUAUGUGAAUAUGUGAAUUGUGUAUUGAUUGAAAGGUGGUUUGAAUUGAAUCGAAGUAUGAUUAUAUGUGAAUAUCUGAAAUAUGUAUUGGUAUUGAAUUGUAUAUUGAUUUGAAAGUGGGAAGUGAAUCUGAGUUGAAUUGCGAUUAAAUCGAAAGUGAAAUUGAAAAAGAAAAAUGUAUUGAAACAAAUGGUGAUUAAAUGGGAAUGAUUUGAAUUGAAAGUAUGAGAAAGUGAUUGAAUUGAAAUGUGAUUCGGAAACCCUAUUAACUAGUCGGGCUGAGUCGGAUAUAGUUGGCAUGCCAUAGGAUUGGAAGAGUUCAGGGAUACUUCGACCUUGAGUCGAUGAGACACUGGGUGUCAUACUAUUACUUCGGAUAGAUUCGAUGAGGUACUGGGUACCAACUUACUUCGGCUUGGCCGAUGAGACACUGGGUGUCAACUAUUGCUUCGAACUAUCCGAUGAGGCACUGGGUGCCAUUCUGGUGUGUUUGGUUGGAUCCGUGUAUCCGCCAAGGUCCGAGUCUUGUUAAUAGGGGUAAAUAAUUGAAAUGAGAAAAUUGAAUAAAUGUGAUUGAUUGAGCUAUGGGAAGAAACGAAAAAGUGAAGUUGUGAAUUGAUGUGUGAAUUGGAAAUCGAAAUAAGAGAUUUAAAGAUAUGAACCCAAAGUUCAUGAUAUGAAAAAGAGUAAAUUUUGUUAUAUGAUAUUAGUGAGUACAAAUUGCAAUAAAAUUUAUAUUGAAUAUAAAUUAAAUGAAAUGAAUUGUAUAUGAAUUGAAAUGAACUAUUGGAAUGAGAUGUAAAGAAAAAUCCAAUGGAAUUGAGAUAGUGAAAUAAGGUAUGAAUACAAUUAAAUACAAGAUUUGAAUUAUAGCUUAUUGUUAUUAAUUAUCAAGUUGAUUUAAUGCAUGAGAUAAUUAAUGAAUAAUUGUAGACAUAAAUAAAAUGUAUAUAAUUUAUCGAUUAAUGUUAUUAAUUCGAAUUAUGGUAAUACCACUGAGUAUUUCCAUACUCAGCGUAUGGUUGUUUCCGUGCGCAGGUUAGGUCAAAGUCGGAUUGUUGAAUCAGCAUCCAAAGCCGAUUCUGAGCUAACUGUGGUUGUGAACAUUUCUUUUAGUUAUGGCAUGUAUAGGAAUUUAGUAAUUUUGUAUAUUUGUAAAUAUGAUUUUACUAUAGAAUGAUGUGUAAGUAUUUGAUGAUGAAUGGUUGCUUAAAUGGUCAAGGAUGAAGUUAAUUAUUGUUAUAAAAGUCUAAGUGAUAAAUUAGGUAUGAAAGUCAUAAAAUGGUAAAAUUUUGCAAAGAAACAGAAUUCAGGCAGCAAUAGUGACGUAACUUUGAAAAAUCACCUAGGAUAGUAUAAAAUGAAUUAGAGGGUGAAUGAUAUAUGAAAUGAAAUAUUAUUGAGUCUAUUUAAAAAUAACGGUUUAGCAAAAAGAAAUUUAUAUUUUAAGAUAUGUGAAUUUUAGUGAGAAAUGGUCAGAUCUAUUUCUGGAGUCCCCUGUUCCGAGUUUAGAAAAUCACUAAAAAUGGUAUAAAAAUAUUUAUGAGUUGUAGUUUAUAUGUGUAGAAUCCUUAUUGAGUCUAUUUUCUGUAGAAAUAAGUGGUAAUAUCAUAUGAAAAUCCUAUAAUGAGAAAAUUUAUUUUUAGUACCAAGGGGUCAGGACAGUCGAGUGAAGAAACAGGGGAGAAUUUAACUAAUAAACUGUACUAAAUGGCUAAACCAAAAAUUCUGGAAAUUUUAUGGUAGAAAGAUAUAUGAGUCUAGUUUCAGGAAAAAUUUACGAAAUUAAAUUUGGAGUUCUGUAGCUCGAGUUAUAAUCAAUUUAGUAACUGCUGCGCGAUUAAACAGAUUACUGUAAACAGUGAAAAAUAUUUUUAAAACGAAUUUUUAUGCCCCGAAUUAGUAAGAUAAACUAAGUAAUGCCUCGUACUCGAUUCCGGAAACGGUCUCGGGUAAGGGGUGUUACAUACCCGGUAAGUUAGGGCACCACACCUCGAAGCUCCGAAAAUAAGCAUUUUUUAGACUCGUGUUGUGAUUUAAAAGAAUAUUUCGCAUUUAGAUUGAAUGAGAAAAGUCGAGGCCCAGUAACUUAGGGCACGAUUAUCUCGAAUCACCUAAUGCGGAAUAUUGCUACUUUGUGAAAGAAUUGCAUUAAUAGAUUGAGUGGGAAAUAUAACAUAAUUUAGCAUAAAAGCAAAUUAUAGAAUUGCUAUGUAUGAUGACACAAUGAUAGGUGUGGUAGUGUCAAAAACGAUAAUACGAACAGUUAUAAAAGAUGAUAUAGUAAUGAGGCUAAGCAAACGUAAACACAUGCGUGAGGAAAAUGAAAUAAUCAAACACGCAAGCAAAUAAAUAAAUGAAUAAAUAAAUAAAUAAUGGUAGAAUAAAAUGAUAACGAAAACAAUAAUAACGAUAUGAGUAAAGAUAAACGAAUAAAACGAAUAAAAAAGAAAAUAAUAAAAUAAUGAAUAAAGCAGGAGAUGUUCAAAAUUAAAAGGAACUCAUAAUAAACAAUUAUUAUGUAAAACUAAAGAACGAUAAUAUAGAAACGGUAAUAAUAAUAUUAAUAGUAAUAAUACAGGUAAUGCUUUAGAAAUGAUGUAUGAAAGUGUAUAUACGUACGUGUAUAAAUAAAUAAUAUAUGAUGUGGGUGAGGGAAGAAUAAAAUAAGUGUAUUUAAAAGGUAAUAGGUGAAAAUGUAGGAAUAAUAAUGAUAUAAAUAAUAACAUUAAAAUAAAGUAAUAAGCAAGUGAAAAUAUUAAGUACAAUAAUAUAUGAUAAAAAAAAUACUAUAUAAAGAGUAUAUAUACAUGUAUAAAAUAGACAUAACAAUAAUAUGAUAUAUUAAAAAUAUAUAUAUAUUUAUAUGAUGUUAAAAGAUGUAUAUAUAAUAUUUAUAUUAGGAAUAAUAAUAAUAAUGCUAUGUAGAUAUAGUAAUACAUAAUAUAGUUAAAAAUAUACACGUAACAUAUAGAAAAAUACAAUAUUAAGAGGAUGUAUAUACGAUUCACAUGUGUAGUAAAAGAUAAUGUUAGAAAAUAAUUAUUAAAGGUAUUAAAUAAAAAUAUAUAUAUACAUAUAUAUUAAAAAUAAAUAUAUGGUGAUAUUACGAGUAUGUGCAUAAUAUAUAUUUAGAUAUUAUAUGUAAUGUAUAAAAAGAAUAUAUAUAGUAUUAAAAAAAGGAGAAAUAUACAUAAUAUAUAUAUACGUUUACAUAUGAAAAAAUAUAGUCAUAAUAUUAACAUACAUGUGUAUUAAUAAGAAUAUUAAUAAUAAAACUAUUAAUAAUAUUUUAUAACAAAUAUACAUAUAAGUAUUAAAUAAAAAGAUAAUGAUGAGCUGUUAAUAAAUAUACAACAAUAAUAAAAUAUAAUAUUGUAAAUACUAUUAAAAUUAAAUUAGAAUAAUAUGGAAAAGUAAAAGAAAAGGGAUGAAAUCGAAUUAAAAACGGAAUUUUGUGGCGAAUUUAAAAAUCAUCAAAGGGGAAGGGGACUGAUUCGAACGCGCGAGCAAACAGGAGGGACCGAAAGAGUAAAUAGUCCAAUUUUAUCAAACGACGCCGUUUAGAUGUCUCUCCUUCAAGCAGUCAGGGGAUUAAAUUGAAACAGAAUUAAAAUUACGGGACCAAAUUAAAAAACAUGAAAAGACCUGAUUAAAACCAAAAAGAUUGCGGAAGGACUGCAUGCGCAAUUGUCCCAAAUGUCAAAAACACACGGAUCCUUCUGUGGAGCGGGCCGGGUUUGGGUCGGCGCUUAAAACGGCACCGUUUUUUGUUUAAAAUGGCCAGGCAAAACGGUGCGUUUUGCCGGCCUAUAUAACCCAUUUAUUUUUAUUUUUAUUUUCAUUUCUCCUCUCCCCUAAAAAAAACUCCUAAACUCCUCUCUAUCUCUCUCUCGGUCUGCCAGCCCAGAAGCCGGUGAAGUACAGGCCGGUCACUGCCGUGCCGGCCACCGUGCACGGUGGCUGGAGAUCGAAAAAGGUAAGGAAUUUUUAUUUUAUUUUUGUUUUUAAAGCGUAUAUAUAUAUGUGAGUAAAAUAAGUGAAAAAGAAAGAAAAAGCAAGAAGAUUAGGAUGAAUCACCUUCGGUUAUUAGAUGUCUAUUCUCUAGUUGGACUAAUUUUGUUGUUUGAUAUUGCUAGGGUUUCUUUGUUUAAAAAAAAUUGAAUGCUUUGUUGGUAUAUAUCAAGUUACCGAGAGAGUUACAAUGGUUUUGAACUUGGCCUUUUAUAGCCAAUUCUUUACAACUUGCUCUUUUUGACUAAUCUGUCUCUUCUUCUUUUAUUGCUGCAGGCAAACGGUGGUGGAGCAGAGGCCACUUGCAAGAGAUGUGACUGGGGCGGUGGGAUAAGUGAUUUAGGGUUUCAAAUUCUGAAACCCUAAAUUUUUAGACUAGAUUAGAGUUUGGGUAGGUUUAGUGUUUUGGGUAAAUUGGGC